rnacentral:lncRNA from 1 species
UUUUUUUUUUUUUUUUGUCAAUUGUCAUUAUCUAUAUUUACUUAUACUCCUACUCUAACAUAGCCUAAGGAGGUGACUCAACAAGGUCACAUGGAACCGACAGAAUUGAACCACCAUCAGAUCAUACAGGUGCAUUAUGUGCCCAUAUGGAUCUAAGAGAAACCAAAUACCUCUAGAGUAGUUGGCUACCACAUGUCUUGUAGGGUGGGAGGUUAAGGGUUCAAACAUUGUCUUCCAUCCAAGUUGCCACUUAAAUGUGGAUUCUCUUAAAUCCAUAUGAGAAGUCCCAUCUCACAAGAUAUGCGGUGCCCAACUAUUUUAGAGCUAGUUGGUUUCAAAAAAAAAAAUUGCUUGGACCUUGUACUGCAUGUCUAGGUCUUGUUUGGAUUGUAGUUUACUUGAAGAAAAUUUUUUAUAUUUUUUGUGAACAUAUUUUCUAAUCAUAUUUUUAACAAAAAUUAAAAAAAAAAAUCAAUCCAAAUGGGACCUAGCGUCCAGCAAGGCGAGUGCCCGUGGCCUUGCCAUCCCUACUUGUUUUAUUGGGUAAAUCUAUUACCUAAACUACUCAGAAAGUUAAGUAAAUCACUUUUCGCUUGUGUUAAACAUUGUAAGUCCGUUUAGUUAUUCUUAAGAUACAAAUUGAAUUGAUCAGAAUUUCGCAAUCUAUAAUUCCAAUAUUUUCAUUUGUGAUUGUGUGAAAAACAGAUGCAUGACUUAAUUUUGAAAGGUCUGAGUUGCAAACUCAUUAUCUGUAGACUAACAUAAGAGUUUAUUCAACAUUUUACGAAUUAGAAAAAAAUUAUUGCUCUUGAUGGUAAGAGCCAAUAGCUAAGUAAAAAAAGGUUUAGGAUCAAUGUUCCUAAGUAAAUUGUUCCUUGCAGCCCUAAUCAUGUUCCUAUUUUGUAGCAAUUGGUGAUGCCAGGAUCUCAAAAAUUGCACAUUGAAAUGUUUGUUUGUGAUUCUUAGUAUUUUCUUACAUACAAAAAAUCCUAGGAAUACUUAAAGGCCUUCGUAAUAAUAAAAAAAAAAACUCAAAAUUUUGAAAUUUAACUAGAUCUCGUAAAAGUGCAGACAUUUCAAAAGCAGGAAGACAAAAUCUAUGCAGUUGUCGAGACAAAAUAUAAAAAACCUGUAAAGACACCUGAAGGUUAGUAAUCCAUAACCGAACAAUUUCGAAAUCAAUUUGUUUUAUAAGCUUUAAGAGUAUAUUGAAGUAGGGGACAAAGGACAGCGGCAGGUAUGUCUGCGGGUUUAAAUUAGUGUGGAUAAAAAUUGAAAAAACCGUUCGAAACAUCUCUCAUAUUUUGUAAAACGAAAUUUUUUCACCCCUCACUUUUAAAUUGCUAAUGUUAUAUCCCUUCCAAAUUCAAGUGGACAAAAUUUAGUAUCAAUUAAAACUUUUGACCACUUUUUAAUCUGAAUCUACUACAUGACGCACAUACGGUCUUUUUCUGAGGGGUAAAGCGUGAGGUUUGGAUCGAAUCAUUUGUUCAACUAUAAAUGGGAUCUGAUUUUAUUUUUACCCAUAAAAAAAUAACCACAUCUAGGCAACAACAAGCAUCUAUCUAUACUUCAGGGGCUUUGGCAUCUUCAAAGAGAAACAAAGUUAUAUUCCAGCCAUGGGUCAUAAGAGAAACUUCAGGGAUUUUGGCAUCUUCAUGAGAGAAACCUUUUUGCCCCUCAUAAAGUAAGAGAUUUAUGGUGUGGAACAGAUUUUUGUGCUUCCUACAAGUCAGCGUUACUCAAAUUAUAUCCAUUAUCCAAUAAUAACAUCAUUAUUCUAACCUACCUAACCAAACUAGUUCUAAAAACAAAAAAUCCAAACACUACCAGCAUAGGUUUCUUUUUUUUUUUUUUCCUCCAAAUUUCCUUCAGUAGAUUAGGUUAAUCAUAGUGAAUUUAUUGUCAAACAUAUUACGCCUCUCUGUUUAAUUUCAAGAUUAAAUUAAAAACCAACUUAAACCCUCAAUCCUUAUUUUGCUUCAUAUAAAUGAUUCAACCUCAUUUUAUACAAGUACAAGAAUAACAUAUCAAAAUGGGUUUCUUUCGUGCUGACAGAUUAAUGUCAGUACGUUCAUAAUCUUUCUUUUUUUUUUUUUUUUUCUCAUCAUCAUUUAUUUGUGGGUUAGAAACGGUAAUUUCUUGUAAGUGUUUAUCUUUUUCUUCCCCCCCCCCCCUUCCUUUUCCCCUUUUUAAGGUGCUUUAUUUUUCCUUUUUCUUCCUUUCACUUUUCACUUUUUUAAGGUGCUUAAACUUUUAGUUGUUACGCAAUUUUUUUGAGUACACCAAGUAUUCAUCUAUACAUCAACAUUAUUUUAUUGUUUGAACCACCAGAAUUCAUAUCCAAAUUAUCAAUGAUAUUAAAACCCUUAUAAUUGUGAACUUAAAAGGAGAAACCAAAUGUGCAACUUAAUUAUGAAAGGUUUAAGAUCCAAUCCAUUGUUUAAUUAUGCACUAACAUAUCAUUAAAAGUCUAACAUUUUACUAGCAAGAAAAAAGAACUAUUGCUCUUCAUGGUAAAAGAUUUAGGAUCGACAACAAUUUUGAGCCUAGCAAUGGUAGGGAAAAGAAAAUGCAGCAUGAGCAUGCAUGUGCUUGUUUUGCAGCAGUAGAUGAUGCUUGGAUGUCAAGAAUUGCAAAUUUAUAAUUUUUCGUUAGUAAUUCUUAGUAUUUGCACGCAUAAAUAAAUAUUGCACGUCUUUUGUCAUAAUAAAAUGAAGAUCUUUCUAGUCAAAAGUGGAAUUUUUGUGUUAAUAUCUGAUAAAUUAUCCAUUUUCUUUUUUAUAUGUGCCUACCAAAUUGUGACAACCCAGGGAAAUAUAGCAAACAAUAGAGGGUACGGAUCUUCAAGAAUUUAAAUGGUCUUACUUAUUUGAAACAUAAAAAACUUGUGGUUCUUGUGAACUUUUUAGUGUGUUUUAGUUGAAGCACAUAAAUUUCUCUGUUAAUUCGCUGCACCUGUGUAUUUAUCAUCAUCAUUAGAAAUUAUAUUUUGCUACAAAUAUAAGAUUUUAAUUACAAAUUUCAAAGUUUUAGGCACUCAAAAUAUAAAAAAAAUAAUUGUAAUUAGUAUCACAAAUUUAUUAGUUGGUACUAAUUUACUUUAAAUGACAAGAAGCGUAUUGGUUUACUUAAUACGCUUAUAUGUGGGAUUUUGUAAAACUAAACAAGUGCUUGUUCCAAAAAAAAAAAAAAAAAAAAAACUAUUUAUACUAGGUUGAGUCUCGUUCAAAUCCGGCCCAUGCUAACACUGAACCCAUUUCAAGUCGAAAACUCGUGCAGCCCAUUUAUGCACAAAGCCUAAUUAUUAAUUCUAAGACCAAGCUCGCGCCAAGAUGGGCCUUUUGACAGCCUUACUCACCGUGUCACAGUUCAGGCUAUUUAGAUUAUCAUAUGCUUUUCAGUAUUUCAAUUAGAAUCAAUGUGCUUUCACUAUAAUUAAAAAGAAAAAAAAUCUAGGGAGAACAAAAAAAAUUCUGUAUAAAUAUCUCACAUCCUUUAAUUGACUUCGAUAUCUUUUAAGAAAAAGAAAAAGACAAAGCUCAAACCUAUUUAACAUAUGCUUGGCUUAGCAAUGAUUCAAGGAGUCAAAUAUUGCAAAUCUCAAAAUUCGUGACAAACAAUCCGUCUACAGAUCAAGGUUGAGAUCCCAGAUUCAAGAACUUUAGGUUCAAAUUUCACAAGCCGUGAGUUUAUUCUAACUUCGUGUUCAGCGUUUGUCCGACCAAAUGUUGGUAUUAGUUGUAAUUUGGUGUACUAUGAUCACUGAAUCAUAAAAAAUCCCUUAAAAAUAUCGGAUUAGCUUUAUAGUUAAGGGUCUUCGUUUUACAAUUUGAACUGCUCGGUUCUCAGCAAUGACUAUAAGUAUGAGCAAAUAGAUGGUAAUAUGAAUUAAGUGACGUGAUAACAAUAGAGUGAUGAGACCCAAUAAGGGCGCGGUCGAAGAGGGGACAGACUUUACAAAGCAGGAGGGGACAAAAAAAAACAUUUCUCGGGAAAGUUGAACAUAAGCUGAAUAUAAAAGGAUAGUGAGUGUCAUAUUUGAAACUAAUUAAAACCGGAUAAGAUUAUUUGGUUAUAUAAUACCAUAAAUAAUCACCAUUGCACAACCUUUCCUUGUCCCAUUAGGAUGUCAAGAAUGCUGUUUGAUGUUUUAUACCAGAAGAUUCCAAUUGCCUGAGCAUCUAAUUAAACUUUAACACUGACUAAUCAAUCACCAAAUAGGAAAAAAAAAAAAAGAAAAAAAAAUUUCUUGAUCAACCUUGAAUGGUAUUUAGAUACAAAAUUAUUUCAAAUAUUAUUUUGCCUGUAUCAUAAAUACGUUUUUCAACUCGUAUUUUUAAAAUUUUGACUAUUUUUUUAUUUUAUUUCACAUACAUUAUUUUUGUAAUGUCGGAGAUGAUGAUGCUUCGAUGGCAUUCAGGAGUCAGAACACUACUAGUUUCCAUCACUACGGUGUUUUCUUGUGUAGAUUCUAAUAUUUGGAGUUCACUUACUUUGACUUGCACAUUCUUUAUUCACACCAUAGGGAUAGGGUCCUCUCAUCCAAAUCUCCUAUUCAAUGAUGACAUGUUAAUCUACAUUGAAAAGUAUUUCAAAUGAUUGAAACGAUUCAACAACCUUGAAUAAUGUAAUGAUAAUAAUAAUGUUAUAAUAAAAAAAUUGUGGGGCUGAUAAUUCGGAUGAUUGUACCAAACAAUUUCAAUUAAUUAAAAUUUGUAAUUGAUUUUUUUUUUUAAAACAUCUCUUGUUUGAUGAAAGACAAGCUUUUGUGUUGAACAAAGUUUCUAUCAAUUUCCUAUGAAUCUUUUUUUUUAUUUUUAGUAGUUCGGAAAAUGCCCCGACUCGAAUCUAUAGGAUCCGAGUCCGCACACCAAGGAUCCGAGUCGGGGGCACCAAACCGGAGGAGUGCGCCAUGGCCCAUGCAGUGAUAAUGUUGUUAUAAUAGGUCGAUUGACAGGGAAACAGAAUUUGGACAUACUACUAUUGUGUGCAUGCACGCAUGCACUAUGUGCCCGAUUUCAGAAUCAUAUUUCGUCUUCCUGCCCAUGUAUUUCUGGCAGGCUAAAUUAGGUGUUUUUCUUCAUUGUUCAUUUAUAAAGAUAGACUUCUCUUGUUUGUGUUUAAUUUAUUUCAGACUGUGAAUAUAAAGUUUUCGUUUAAAAUAUAACAGAAAAUUAUUAUUGGACCCAGAGUACUUCACUUGUAUCCAAUCUUUUAAGUUUCUUUUUUUGGUUCAGGGUAAGAAAAUAAAAAUUCUGUUACAAAAUUUGCUGAAAGUCGUCCAGCACAAUUUGCUAAAAAAUUGUUUGGUUAGACUUGAGAUACGAAAUGAACUCAUAAGAAUUUCGCAAAUUUUGUUUCCAAAAUUCUCUUAACUGAUUUUGGAGAAAACAACAAUAACUUAGAGUCAGGAAAGUAUUUUAGUGGGAGCACAAAUAAAUUAGAGCUAUUUUAAUUAUUUAAAUGGUAUGGAACAAUAAUAAUAUAAGGUGCUAUUUUUUUUGUAUAGAAAUACUCACAAGUAAACUGAACUUCCUAUAGCAUUGAGUUUGUGCUUGUAGCAAUCAUUUUUUUUUUAUUAAAAAACAUGCUAUCAAAUUACUCGUAGGUACAUAAUUGUAUUGAAUUUCUACUAAUUAUAUGGGUAAAAACAUAAUUUUUCCACAGUACUUGAAAUGUAUAUUUUACUUUAGUCUGUAGGGGCACAUUGAUAAAGUGGUAGGGCAAAAAUAUAUUAUGUAUAAAGUUUAUGCCUAAAAUUGAAAAUGGGACAUAUAUAUAUCUAUAUAUAUAAUUGUAAAUGUCAAUGAAAUAUUCAGCGAAUUUGGAAAAGAAGAGCUGCAGGUUCUUUUUCUCUCUUUUUUGCAUUUCGCAACUAUAUUUAUCUAUUUAUUUGUUCCUAUUCAUGUAGAGCAUGAGAAAAAUGAAGUAAUCGAAGUUUCAGACACUGUGAUUUUUCACAUUUUGAUUUUUUUCUUUUUACAAUAAAAUUUUCAUUUUUCACACUCAUGAAAAAAAUCAGUCUAUUUUGAGUAAAUUCUUUGUAUGAUAUUGAAAUUGAAUUUCAUUUAUUGUUGAGAUUUUUUGCUCAAAUGUAUGUGCUUAUAUAUAUUAAUUACCUUCAACACUAUGGAGGAUUUUAUUUGUAAAAGUGGUUUAAAGAAUAGUAUUUACUUUUACUAUCUCUCUCUAUAGUAGAAGUGAUUAUUAGUUACAACAUAAAGAGUAAAAAUGCAAUUUUGGUAUUCAAAUUUUGACACAUGAGCAAUUUUAGUUCCCAAACUUUGGACAAAAGCAAAUCUGGUACCCAAUCUUUGAACUUUUAAGCACAUUUAGAACCUUCGAUGGAUUUUUUUCAAAUUGCAAUAGGAAAGAGUCACCUGAUAGUCACAUGUUCACCAACUAUUAUAUAAAAAAAUACAAAAAAAAAGUUAAAUUUAGUCCUUAAACUAGGUAUUUAGUGUUAGAAGAAUACAUUACGGGUCCGUUUGGAUUCCUUGUUUUUGCCUCUGUUUUUCACAUUGCAAAUACUACAGUAAAUGUGAUCAAUCCAAAACAGCUCCAAAAACACCGUUUGACAUAUUUUAUAAAAUAGUUGCCGGAUAUGUGACAAUCACAUGACUUUUUUCAGUUACAAUUUCGAAAAAAAUCGUUAAAUGUACUAAAUGGGCUCAAAAGUUAAAAAAUUGGGUACCAUAUUUGCUUUUGUCCAAAGUUUGGGAACUAAAACCGCUCAUAUGUCAAAAUUUGGAUAUUAAAACUACAUUUUUCUCCAACAUAAAUCCUUAUCAGCUUUCAUCCCCUCACUUUUAAAUGGUUCCAACUUAGUACUUUCUUUUUUUCUUGGUCUAUAAAAUGCUCAUUUUCUUUGAUAGCCCAAGUGUAUUAUGGGCAUUAAAAUAUUCUCUCUCCUCUAAUAUGAAUAUUCUAAUAUUAUUUUUGGUAAGCAGGGCUGAUAAUUAACGCAGCAAAAUAUUCUCACCUUUGACCUUUAGUGGAUUUAGUGACGUCACUUGGAUGGAAAAGUUUUGAACAGGUUUCACAAACCCAAAUAAAAUAAGAAAAAAAAAACAGAGAGAUAAACAUUUUGCAUUUUUCAAAGAGGCAAAAGUUAUAUGGGCCCAAAGCAGCAGAUUAGUUGACUGGUUAACAUGUUAGCUGCAUAUCCAGACAGGAGCAAUCUUCUGUGGUAAAAGACAGACAAAUAUUUACAAUAUAUAUAUAUAUAUAACUAACAAUAGAGCAACAACUUAUUUUGGAUUUAAUAAAAACAAGAUUUUAAUAGAAAAAGAAAUUGAUUACUCAAAUGCACCCAAAAACUUUUGACAGAAAAAAAACCCCUUGAAAAUAGUUAUUUCAUACUAAUACACUAGUCUAAAUAAAUUAAAUUGUGCUUCAUAAUUAACGGUCUUUGUUUUCCAUUUCAGAAUUAAUGAGAGCUUGAAUAUUUUCAAUAAACAUGUCGUGCAUAUCUAGAUGAUAAAUUAUGAACCUAGACAGUAAAUUAUGUAUGUUCACAAGUAUUACCUUAUAAAAAUCUUGGGUUUAUCUAACGGUGUCUAAUGCUUAUUUGUUAACAUACCUAAAUUUCAUAUAAUCAGUCAUGUAUAUGUACAUAUAAUUAUUAUCCUCCCUUGUAUUUGUAUACUUUUCUAAAUUAAUUUUACCCUUCUAAAAAUCUAAUACUUGAAAUACAUCUUAACUGGUGAUUAUUUAAAAUAGACUCUAAAUUCUUUAGUAAACAAAUUUUCUUAUCAUGAUAGAAUAUUUGGUAAGAGUUUGUUGAAUUGCUGGUCCAAUAAGGAAAUUGUCUUCAUAUAUUUAUCUUGCAAGGACGGCUUGACAAAACUAACUACGUAAAGGAAUCCUCGUUGGUAAUUUCCUCCAAGUAGCCGUUAACACAUGCUUUUUUUGCCGACAAGAAUUUAAAGCUACCAAAAUUCCCACACAUUUCACACAGAAAAACACACAGCAUUCACACGCACCCCACCUCAAUUCCUUCCCGUUAUAUUAUAUCACUACCUUUUCGGCCACUCUAUAUAGUAUAUAUAAUCACUGCGUGCACUGUGUGUAAAUACUUUUCUGUUGUUUCUCUGAUAAAUCCCAAAAUGCAGGAUCCCACUUCAGGGUCUUAACUUGUCCUAGAGGGUGUCGUUUUCCGAGCCACAGUCAAGCAGUUUUUUGAGUUUCUGUCUUCUCUUCAAAUAGUCUUCAGUUCAUCCUCAGAGUGGGAGGAGAUUUCGAGGGCCCUUGAUAUUUGAGUAUGAAUCUCCAAACCCUUUUGCCUUUUAUGCUGAAAUGUCUGUUUUGUGUUUUCUUCAGACAUUGUUUGGCUAUAUCUGUGGUUAAUUUGCUUGCCAGUGUGUGUUCUUGUGUUUGCUUUUUGUAACAUGGUGAAGCAGAGUUUAUCUUAGUGAUACUUGUUCCGUUUGGGAUUAGUCUCAUAUACACCAUUAAUGUAAUUAGUUUCCACAUAGGGAGAUUACAAGAUUUUCAGUUAAUGUGUUCCAGGCAUGACAUUUUAUUUUGUAUUCCAAUUGAAGUUCUUGCAAGGAAUUGUGGUUUCACCAUAUUAGGACAUAAUAGAAGUAAUAUAGGUGUGGAAAUCUUGAUAAUUCAUAAAUGAUGCAACUAGUAUUUAGGAAUAAAAGUGUUUUAUGUGGCGUUUUGUGGUGGAUAAUUAGAGUUGAAUUGUCGGUUUAGGGGUUUUAGCUAGUUUAGUUCUUUCAAUUCCCAGGUCUAUUAAUUUGCCUUCAAAGACUUGGUUGUAAUAUUUUGUUUGAAUGCAACAAUAAACUGGACAAGUGCAUGAAUACAUACACGAAACAACAAGAAGAAUUUAGAAUAGUGAUAUAGAAAAUAGUGGUGGUUGGAUAUAGAAAAUAGUUCAGGUAUAUCAAUCAUCUUCACUUGAUAUUAACUGUUUGAAUUCACCAUUUCCAAGCAUCGAUGUGCUUUUACUGCAAGAUAUAUAUUGCAAAGACUCCAUUGUAUGUAAUUUAGAUAUAUGCUAACAUCUUUCUAGGAAUGAUAAAUAUCCUAGCCAAUGAGUACCUUUGUCCAGUUUAUUCUUGAAAUGACCUGUUGUUAAGUUUGGCCAAUAUUCUUUUAUAGGAGAGAUGAUCAGGGUGGAAAUAUAACUUGUUAUUUUGCUAUGCACAUAAUCUUUUGGUCCCCUUGUACUAUAUUGAAUGGUAAUGUGAUUGAAAGCAGUAUUUGUACUUGCUCUUGGUGCAUAGCAGUUACGUAUUUUUUUGAUGUAUGGGAAGGAUGGUCAAGACCUGUUUGUAGUUCUGGUAACUGUAUAUUAAACUUUCAUUGUUUUUCCCUUUUGAUCUAAAGUAUUUCUUUCUCAAUGUUGUGGAGAUCUUUUUGAAGAAUGCCAAAUCUCUGAAGUCUUUCAGUAUAUACCUUACUUUGGGUUUAUAGUUUUAUCUUUUUGAUUCAAGAAGAAAUUUAAGAUCUUUUAGAGAUGAGUUAUGUCUUUCCCGGGAUUUGCGGUGCAAAAUUACUGGAGCAAAAGGCAAUUCGAGAAAUGUAGUUUUUACAUUGAAAACAAUGUGAAAGUGUCUUAAGCGAUGUGCAUUUUUAUUGUAGUUUGCUUUCUUAAGAAAUCCCUCCUGGAAAGUGGUAGUGAAAUGCUGAACAUGCAAAUCAGUACUCACACUUAGUUAAGAGAAAUUAAUGGAAGGGCCUGCAAUUUUUGCCCUUGAUUCCUCUACCUCAAACAAAUUGCAGACAGACAUGUCCUGCUACCUUGACUAUCUCUGCUUUUCUUCCUUUCUAUUGAACACUAUUUUAUUGUGUACAUUUCUGUUCCCGGACUCUUUAGAUAGUUUUCACAUUUCAUAUGAAUAGAACUGACUUAAUGCUAGGUGCUUGCCUUAUUAAGAAAGAAGGGUGUGAUCUCAAUAAUUAGUUCAUUAUAUUCUGUUUGUAUCAUUUUUGACAUUUACAUCGAUAACAAUACACAGAACCGCUCCAGUCUGUAAAAAAGUCCUUAUUUUUAUUAAAUCAAAUGUACCUUCUUCCUUGAAUUUCACCUCAGAUUUCUCUCAUAUUCAAUCUAUUGCAGCCUUCACCAAUUUGCUUAGACCAGAUAACUCCAAACCUCGUAGUUUUAUUCAGUAGUCUUAACAUAAUUAGGACUGCAGCUAUCACCUGUUCGGCAAUAUCAGGUGAAAUUAUGCUUCCAAGCAUGUAUAUGGGUGAUUUGGUUACAAAUGUAAGAAAAUACAGACAUAGACUUUCUUGAUCCCAGUACAUAUUUUAAGGAUGCAAUUGGUAAUUCAGGAAAAUGUAUCUGCAGGAUUUGUGUUUGAAGGGGUAAACUAUAUCUUUGUCCUUACUAAUUUAAAAGAUCAUCUUUUAGAAAAGUAAAUUACCCUUAAAAAUGAAACUAGAAUUGCUGAUUAGGAGACAUGGUUGCUCUCUCUUUCUCUUGAUCUAUCUAUCUAUGUACCUCUUCUGUGUCUUUCUGUGACUUAUUGCAUAUGCACGUGUGAGGAAUUCUUAAGCAGUUUUCUUUUGCAGGGUUGUAUAUAAUCCUAAUUGAAGCAGUAUGGCGACUAUUGCUGAUAUUUCUGUUGCAGCAUCUAUAAAUAUACUCAGUGCGUUUGCUUUCUUUGUGGCUUUUGCGAUACUGAGAAUUCAGCCAAUCAAUGAUAGGGUAUAUUUCCCAAAGUGGUACCUGAAAGGUUUGAGAAGCAGUCCAUUGCAGUCAGGCGCUUUUGUCCAUAAAUUUGUCAAUUUGGACUUCCAUUCAUAUUUGAGAUUUUUGAAUUGGAUGCCUGCUGCAAUGCGAAUGCCAGAACCUGAGCUUAUUGAUCAUGCAGGAUUGGAUUCUGCUGUUUACUUAAGAAUUUACUUGACAGGGUACACUUCCUUUCCUUUGUUUAAAUUCUAAUAAGCAUUGAUUAUGUGCUUAUAGAGGCUGCCCACAUCCCUGAGCUAUGCAGGUGGAAUCAUUGAAAACUUUGAAACUUUUUUUUUCCCCUAACAUGUAUACUGAAGAAGAUAUGAUAAUUAGUUCACCUUUUAUCUCACCAUCUUAUUACACCAGUUGACGAAUGGGUUGGUAUUAUUCUACAGACACAAAAUUUAUCUACCGAAGUAAUUGAGGGCCAUUAAUUAGAUAAUAUGUUCAGCACACAAGGUUGGCACUUGACAUUUAUUUCAUUAUAUACUUUUGAGGAAGAUAUUUUCACCACAAAUAGACAGCAGAAAUAUCCACCAGUAACGUUAGAGCUUAGUCAGCAUCAAGAAUCCAUAUUUAAAAUAUAUAGAUUAAGAUCUCGUUCACUAUAUUCCUUUAUCAUCAUUCCAGCAUUGAUAGUUCAUUUUGGAUAUUGGCUGCUUAAUUGACAAUUUCUGUCUUUAUAUGUCUUCUCAAUUCAUUUUAGUAGUCACAGUCAUCACGUCCAAUUUUAAAUCAACAGAUAAACACAGGAAAAGAAAACAGUUCGUUACUCUGUCUAGAUAACGCUUGAUGACAAUGGCUAAUUUGAGGAAGAAGAUAAUUUUUUUCAUGCAUAACAUUGUCUGCAGGACGUUAAAUUUGGAAUAUAGAGAUCAACUAUUAGAUCCCUUACACUGGACUGCAAUGGAGUCUCAACAAUGAUAGGCAAAAGUAAUAAGUACCUCUGCAAUGAGAGGUCAGAUGCAGUGGUCUGUGGUGUGUGAAUUACAAUAUGGCAAUCCCAGCUUUGAGCAGAGAAAAUUGACCAGCUUAGAAACAUUCUAUUUCAAUGCUAAGCCUCCCAUUCAUUUUAGCAACUCUAAAUAUUGCUGAAGGAGUAAGAUUAAGCUGACCUCAAAAGAUUGUCUUUUAACACGAAUUUUGAAUGUCUACUAUUUUGAGUAGGUACAAUUAAGUUUCACGCGGAGUUCUAAGGGAGUGAAACUAUACUAAAAUGUAGAGCCGUAGAAGGAACAAAAAGUCAAGAAAGUGUAGUAAAAGUUAUAUCUUAACCAAAAAUCACAAAACAAGGAUUAUUCUAAUAAGUAUUCUUAAUCUUGUAGAAAAUGAUGCUCUUUCUUUAUGAGUUGUAUAAUUUACUUCUUGUCAGCACAGAAAGGUAUAAAAAAAACUGUCUUUUUUAUUUGGUACCUUGCUUGGUUUCUCUUGUUCAUUUGGCUGGCUCAGAAAGAAAGUGUAGUGAAUUUUGACAUCAUCCAUGAUCUUUCAGAAGUAGUUAGCACUUGAGUAUAGUUUUCGUAUUGGAGCAAUAAGUGCUGACAUUAAGGUUUUUGCUUAUAACUUAUACCAGAAACUUUGCUGUCUUAAAUUUGACUAACAAAAAAAGAAAAGUUGCAACUACAGUGUCUUGCAGACCCAUGAUACAUCCUCAUUGGAAGUGUCAACCUGAAGAUGCUACAAUCUAAGUUGUUGGAAUUAGUUAAGAAUUUGGAGUACUGAGAAAGCAUGCUUUGAAGUAUCUCCUCAGCUUAAAAUUUAUUGAAAAUUGCAGGAAUCUAACAUAAGAACCUUAUAUGAAGAUGAACGAAGCAAUCUGUUUAAGAAUUGACUUUUAAUCCUUAAACUCUGGGAAUGGCAUUUGCAUGUACUAUUGAUUUUUGUGCCUUAAGAAUCUGGAUAUUCAGAUCUUCUUGUGCACACCCUUUUACGUGACUGCGAAGUAUAACCUGUAAGGUCUUAAUUUUUGUGCCUUAAACUCUUGGAAUGGCACUUGUCUGGAGAUGCUAAUGAUUUUUCUUCCUUAAGAAUCUGGAUAUUCUGAUCUUCUUCUCCACACCCUUUUACAUGAUUGACAAUACAACCUGCAAUGUGCUCUUUGUAUUUUAUUUUAUUUUACUUUUCCUUUUUCAUUCUUUCCAACUAAAUUCAAGUUCUCCAGCUAAGUUCUGGAAAAUGAAGUAGAUAGAUGGUUAGUAGUUGAAGUUUCCAGAAUAGUUACCACUACCGAUCUCUUAUUUAUGGUAGAUAUUCUUCACAAGGUUUGCAAGAUUGCUGAAGCAGCAAUUCGUCAUAGACUCUGCUCAUAUAUCCUUUGAUUCCUUUGGUCCAGAAUGAGGGAGACGAAUUUUAUACCCUUGCUUGUGCUUGGCUAUACUUGCUAUAUAGUCUCUCUUUCAUAAGGGAAAUAUCUGUAUAGGUUAUAGGAACAUUAAUUUUUUAAAAUUCAGUUAUGUUGAAGCUUAAACACGGGCACUCAAUCUGAAAAAGCAUUGUGGUUUUGUUGAAGUAGUGCUUUUUAUAAAAGUUCAAUGUCCAUGUUUGCUAGUUUUUUGUUUUUUUUUUGUGCACUGUGGACAUCUAAAGUACUGGAGGAUCUUUUCUGUGUUCAAUGAUUCAUAUAUUUUGCUCUUUCUUUUCUUGAGCUUCAUAAAUCUUUUAGUGGACUGGUUUAUUUUGUUUACUCUUAGUAAAAAUGUAGCUUGCACUUCUUUUUUAUUGUCUUAUUUUGACUGUCAUAAAGUUUCAUUUCUCAUUUCACUCUUGCAGAUUCUGGACUCACAUAGUAAUGGCUUAUGUCUUUACAUUCUGGACAUGUUAUGUUUUGAAGAGGGAAUAUGAGACAAUUACAUCAAUGAGAUUGCAGUUUAUUGCUUCAGAACAUCGACGUCCAGAUCAAUUUACGGUAACAGACUAAUAUUCAAAUAAUCAUAUUUGUUUUCUUGCUUAGUUAUUCAGAUAUGGUCUUCCUAUUCUGAAGUGUAAAUUAUAUCACUUAAUCUUAAGGUUGAUUUUGAUUCACAUCUUCUUAAGUUUUGGAGAUUUAAUAGACUCAACACUCUGGAAAUUUGAACUUCUAAUACUUAAAUUCCAUCAUGCAUACUCAUCAUCAAAUUUUGUUAACUACCCUUUGAAGAGAACUGAUUUGAAAUGGCUAUUGUACGGAAAUUUCAAAAUGGAUAAGUACAUGACAUCUCAGGUUGAAUGACUGAAAUUUAGUACCUUGGAUGAAGCUAUUUGUGAACUGUACCAAUCCUUAAAAGUCUUACCUUCAACAAGUUUUACAAUUAGAAACCCUUUUAGGUAUUCACACAAGUACUAGUAAUGACCUGGCUAUGUAAAGGUGUAAUUGACAACUUUCUUCCUGCAUUGGUGUAUGCUUACUAUGAAGCAUCAUUGGAUCAAUUUCCAAUCUUUCAUAAGCAUUAAAAGAUCAACUUAAAAUGGAGGUGAUUUUCAUUUUAGACAAAGUUGGAUUAAGACAAUAUCUCAAAUUUUGAUGUCUUUUCUUUUCAAUUCCCAUUUUGAAUUUGCUGUUGCCAAUAGGCAAGCCUUCCUUUUCCAUUCUGUUUUACUGUAAAGGUAAAAGAUGUUACUCCAUGGUUUCUUGUUAAUAUCUAACUACUCAUAUGCUUUAUACAUCUGAAGUGUUUUUGUAACUAAGGAUGUUUUCUUUGUGGUCAUUCGGUCCAGGUACUUGUAAGAAAUGUGCCACCAGACCCUGAUGAAUCUGUUAGUGAACUUGUGGAGCAUUUCUUCAUGGUCAACCAUCCUGAUCACUAUCUAACUCAUCAGGUUUUACUCCAACCAACCUUGAUAUAUGAUGAAGUAUCAAUCAACUAGCUGACAUCUAGCUUGCAGAGAUUUCUGUAGUUUGUAUUGGGGAACAUCAUGCAUAUAUAGAAUAGGGUCUGUGCAAAUCAAUUGGUAUUGCCUUGUACUUUAGAGAGGUUCACAAGAAAGCUAUUGCUUAAGUUAUUUACAAUAAUAGUUAAUGUUGAUAUCCCAUGAAAGUAUGUCUUGUUAGCACAACACAAACUGCUGUGAUAUGCUGGACCUUCCUGUUUUGCAAAAUUCACUCCUUUCAAGCAGUGGCAAGACCUUGGUGUUUGGAUUAUCCAACUUAGUUAACUAUCUCUUGAAGCUGGUUGAAGCAAAGCUUCUUCUAAGUUUUACUAGUUGCUUCAUUUCUUUCUGACGUACCCUUUAAUGUGCUUGUGUCAUUGAUAUUGUUACAUUUGCGAGCAAUCAUACUUGUUGGCUGAUCAAAUUUUCUGGAAAACUUGCAUACUGGUCAUGGACAAUCAUUUGUUAGAAUACCUAUUGGCUGCUCAAUUUUUCUGGUAGACUUGGGUAGCAUUAGACAAUUCAUAACCUCCACUUUGGUUUUUAUCAAUACUGAGCUCAUUGUAGCUUGUCUUAGAGUAAUUUUGAAGUGUCUCACCCAAGGUUGUCCAAGUCUUCGAUAUUUUCUAAUCUGAAAGGCAGAAACUUAAAAGUCUCUCUGGAUAAACUCAGGUGCAUACUUAUAGAUUUGUCACCAGAUUAUGACUCUAUAACAUGACUGACCAUACAAAGGAUGAUACUGACCAUACAAAGGAAAUAUUUUGGAUCCUCUUAUUGCUAUCAGUAAAAUUUACUGUGACUCUUAGAACAGAAUAGAAUGAACUUUGAAUUAAUUUUUCCAUUUUAUCACCAUGGAGGUCCAAGUACAAUUUCAUAAACUUAUGAUGAUUAAUUUAUAAAUAUUUUUUCUUGUCAAAAUAUCAUUGUACGGCUUCUGAGAUUGCCUCCUAUAUUAAUCCAUGUCUAAUAAUCUGGUAUAAUUUGUACAUAUCCUUAGUUUCUAGGUGGUUGUUGUUUGGGAGGGGACUACAGCAAUGAAAAGCCUGCACUAAACCUUUUAUGCCUUCUAUUUUUCCAAUUUCCUUCCAAUCUAGAAUGGCAUUCAGAAUGGAUAUUUAUAUAACCGACAUAUCAUGGUUCUUAUUGCUACUUCAUUACUGCACAUCCUAAAAGUCUAGUUCUAAGCAUGUAAAAUAAUUAUUUUUCUACUAAUUGGCUUUCUUACUGCACCGUAAAGUGAUUUCCUGUUCAUGCAGUUUGUCAUGCAUUAGUUAAGGAAACUAUUGAGUCAAAAGGAAAUGAAAUUUUCUACUGCCCCUGCCCUCAGCUUGGCCAUGCAACAUAAAAUAACAUAUAUCUUCAUAUUUAGCGUGCAGGUUUUAUUUUUAAUAAGCUAGCACUGCAUGUAAUAAGAAAAAAGAAAAUAAAUAAAAGCUAGCAUUUCAGGUACCUGAUAAACUAAGUAGUCUGAUUUGCAGGUAUUUAAUUAUCGGUUAAACAAUCAUGGUCAUGUUCUAAGUGAAAAUAUGAGCAUUCUUCUUUAUACAAUAUGAUUGCCUAACUGAUUUCAAAAAGUGGAGACAAUUUAGUCAUAUAUAUGGGGGAAUUUCUGAUUUCAUCUGUCUACUUGGUAGGCACGUGUAAUGGUAUGAAAAUUUUGUUUUCAGAUUUUAUUUAAUUAUCAGAAUGCAAAAUCUCUCGCUUCAUUUUGCUUGCUGUUAUACUACCUAGCGUUAUGAGUAUAGACAUGAUUUCCCAGAAAUACAAGAUUAGGAUUGUAGUUGGUAUUUUGCAAACCUGACAUAUCAGACAAAUGACUUUGGACAUUGAAGAAAUGGCCUUAGCAAGCCCCUCUUCUGCACAGGAUUCUUACUUACUCUUGUUUCCCUUUGCUAAAAUUUCUCAGCAGAUUUGUUUUAUGUCUUUUAUGCAGUUGAUUGGCUGCUACUUGAGGAAAAAAAGAAAAGAAAAUGGAGAUAAAAUGAAAUAUUACCUCUUUUGACGACUGUUUGUUAUAGCAAUAUCUUCUAUCCUCUAAUUACCUAAGCAGAGUUAGUCAGUUGCCAUGCUCAAUAUAUCUGUAUUCUUCACAUGCUUUAUCUGCAGGUGGUUUACAAUGCAAACAAGCUCUCUGAACUCGUGAAUGAGAAAAAGAACAAGCAGAACUGGCUUGACUACUAUCAACUGAAGUAUGCUAGGAACCAAUCAAGAAGGCCCACAUCAAAGGUACUUCGAUGUGAUAUUAUUCGUUCGCCUCUGGAUAUGUCAAUCAUAAAGUAAUAGUCCUGAACAUCUCAUACAUCCUAAAACUAACACCUUCUGAGGAAAAUAUUUUGAUUUGAGCAGAGUGGUUAUCUUGGCUUUUGGGGUAAAACAGUGGAUACUAUCAAUUUUUACACCUCUGAAAUUGAAAGACUUUCGAAGGAAGUAAGUGAUUUGUUUCCCUUAACAUGCUUUAUACAAUAAUGUAAAUGAGGUUGUUAUCUAAGUUUUUUUGUUUGGUUUUACAACAAGACGAGGUUAUGACCUUAGUCACUUAGCAGAAAAAAAGCCUAUCUUAGUUUCAGUUUUGACUUUUGUUAGUCUUGGCUUAAGAUCUUUCUUAGAAGAUGAAGGAUCAUUUUCAGGGGCUCCAUAGUUGUUAUUUAUCCAUCAUUCAAUUGAUGCUUAGAAUUCUAGCACCAUGAUAUUCCAAUUAUUCAUGGUAGAAUUUCAGCACCACAUACCCCAAAUACAGUUAUUUGAUGUUCUGAUAAUCGUCAAUCUGAAGAAGUCUUCAAUUUAUAUACUGGGACAAAAGAAUAGAAAAGUUUAUCUUAAUGUCAAAGAAGUUCAAAACGUUCUUAUUGCAAUACCUGUGUACACAUAUUUCCAUAUUGUUUGCUUUUUCGUGAUACAACACCAUGAAAUGCUAGACUGUGUAGAAUCAAUAAUUAAUUCGAGUCUAUGUGAUGCUUGAAUUUUGUAGUGGAUGAUCAAGGAUCAUCAUUGUCACGAUAAGGGUGGAACAAAAGUUCUACCUGUAAGAGAAACUGGAAAUGAGCUUAUUAUUCACAUAGUGGUUAAAGGGUGUUUCUCCAAAGUCUUCCAGCCCCAAAGUUGGAUCAUCAUCACAAUUAGGGUUGAACAAAAACUCUACCUGUAAGAGAAACUGGACAUUAUUCACAUAGCAGUUAAAGGGUGUUUCCCCAAAGUCUUCCAGUCCCAAUGUUAGAUAGGUAUGUUUUGCCCUUUUUGUUUGUAUGAAGCUUUCUACUUUUUCUUCAUCUACAAGUUUGAAUUAACAAUUUAGGAGGAAGCCAAGCUGCAAGGGCUCUUUUAUCACCUGAUCUUGGCUGGUGGGUUUUUAACUUGUACAAGCUGUAGAAAGUACCAGGCAUCAUAGAUGUCCAAACAUAUUGUGCACACUUGAUUCUUUAAUCGGUUUCUCUUUCCUAUUAAACCCAAUUUAAAAGCCAGAAUGUGUUAGUCUCUUAAAAUAACAUACAUGAGGGCAACCGUGCUGGAUGAAUUUUUAGCUAGAUGCUAGUCUUUUUAUUCAUGGAUACUAAACUGGAUCUUAUUACAUCUAGUUGACCUUCCUGCAAGCUCAUCAAGGUGUAAAAAAAUUGGUUAACUUAGGCUGCCUUGGCAAUGUAUUCAUCUCAUUAUCUGGGUUCCAUCCCACUUGAAGUGUGUCUUUGAAUUUUGGGCCAUCUUUUGAACCACGUGUGGUUGGAAGCUUAUUCAUAGCCUUGUUCUAUUCAUAUUUCAUAUUCAUCAUGCUUAAAGUGCAAGUACUAUUUAUUGUCUUAACAUAGGUCUUCAGCUUGCGUAUGAGUUGUAAUAUUUAUUUUCUUUAGUAGCCAUGACAUGAGUAUUAUAAGAAUACCUCCCGAUAUAUCUGACAGGUAUCAAUGUAUUGUUAGACUGACUUAAUGAGCUCACAAACUUAUUGAAUUGAGCCUAGGGCUUCUUGCUCCUUGCACCUCAACUUUGGCUGUUUUAAAGCACAAAUUACUUGUAUAUUUUAAGAAUAUUCAUGAAUUCAUUUGAACUAUGCACACUUCACUGUGACAUCCUUAAAACAACAUUAAAUUUCACACAUUUCUCAUUCAAAUUUGUUCCUUUUGAUCAUCUACAUUCACAUCUGUAGUUUUUGCACUAAUCUAUUGGAUACUGAAGAAAUUUGAAAUAAAACUUUAGUAAAUUGCUGCUCAAAAUAAAGUGUUAGUCUAUCCAAAAUAUUAGCCAAAUGUAAGUUGUGAACAGCAUACUCAUCCAUACAACAGAAUCUGUUUGACACAAUCUGUAUUUAGAACAAAAGUGGCUUAUUAGUAGAUCACAAAAUUUUUUCCUGAAAGUAAUGGUGAAAUUAGGACUCUUCUUCUGUAAACAUUUAAAAGUAACACUAAGUCUUAUUUAAAUCAUCAAGUCCCUGUUGUUUUGUCCAAUUAAGAGAUUGUACGUUUUAUCUCAAGCUUGAAUAAAUGUAUCAUACACUCAAUGAAAUAACUUAAAGCUCCUUAUUUAGUUGAAAGGUGUAUUCACUAAUUGACACAAAAUUAAAGCCUGCAUUUAACAUGUUGAGAUUGUUCUAGUGUGAAACAGAAUAGUAUGCAGUAAAAACCCUUGUUAACUUUGUAGUGGCAAUGCACGGACAGGUCUUCUUAUACAUUGAUUCCAACAUCAAAGACAGCUUGUGCUUAUUAAAAAUUGUGUUCUGUAGUCCAUUCAAAUUGCGUUAGCCUUGCAGAUGAACAGGAACUCUUUUAUUUGUUUUAAACUUUUGAAGAUGACUUCAAUUAUCUACUUCAGCAUGUCUUUGUCAUAAUUUCUGGCAUAUAUUUGUUUUGCCUUCUAAAACUCACUGCAUAUAUUUGUUUGAUUCUAAAACUCACUUUUGGUACUUAACAAAUGAAUGUCAGAUAGCUGCUGAGAGACUGAAGAUUGACAAUAAUGCUAAGUACAUAAUGCCUGCAGCAUUUGUUUCCUUUAAAACCAGAUGGGGAGCUGCUGUUUGUGCUCAAACUCAGCAGUCAAGAAAUCCAACCUUGUGGCUAACUGAAUGGGCUCCAGAGCCCUGUGACGUGUAUUGGAAUAAUCUAGCAAUUCCCUAUGUCUCACUUACUAUUAGGAGGCUUGUCAUAGCUGUUGCAUUUUUCUUCCUUACCUUUUUCUUUAUGAUUCCCAUCGCUUUUGUUCAGUCCCUUGCAAAUGUAGAGGGAAUAGAGAAAGCACUUCCUUUCCUGAAGCCAAUAAUUGAAAAGUAAGUAUGCUUCUCCUAUUUCAUUUCAUUGCCUUCAAAUGGUCAGAAAGAUCAUUUUCUAUUGCAUUUUUAACAUGACUUGAGGGCUUUUUGUGUAUCUUUGUUUUAAUUAAGGUGUUCUUGAUGAUGAUUGAGGUCAAUUUAAUUUACUCAGUUCCUCAGUAAUUGGUCACGAAUUAAAUGAAAUCAACUCCCUUUCAAUUCACUUUUUCAGGGAGGAAGUGGCUGUAUUAUAAAAUGCAGUUUAUUUUUGCUGCUUCUGAUUUUAGUGUGGAAAGAUAAAUUUUGAGUGAGCUUAUUUCUAUUUUCCACCUUCAUAGAUUUUACAAAUUUCACAACGAAAUAUCAGUAUUUAUAUGUGUGAUUGCAUAGUUGGAAUAAAAAUGAGGAGACAGAGAGGAAUGACAUCACAAUCCAUAGAUCUUUCACAUGGAUAAAAAGCAUGAAACUAGGAGCAUUUCCAUAUUUAGAUGGAUAUGCACUGCCCACAGAUUUAUGUGCUGCCAUAGAAUUUACUAUAUGGGCGUCCUUAGUAUCUAUCCAGAAAAUUCUUUCCUUUUACUGUUUAGUCCAUGCAUAUGUUCAAAUAAUCUUAUUUGUGAUGCAGGAAAGUCAUUAAGGGAUUCAUCCAGGGUUUUCUUCCAGGAAUUGCUUUGAAGAUUUUUCUCAUAUUUUUACCAUCAAUACUGAUGUUGAUGUCGAAAUUUGAAGGAUUCAGCUCCAUAUCAGCUCUUGAAAGAAGAUCUGCAACUAGAUACUACAUUUUUCAGUUCAUAAAUGUCUUUCUUGGAAGCAUCAUCACUGGAACAGCAUUUCAGCAAUUAAAUAACUUUAUUCACCAGUCACCAAAUGAGUAUGUUCUUUUAGAGCAAACCAUAUUCUAUCCUUUCUGUUUCAUUUCAAGUUAACUCAUGUUUUACUGUGGGGGUAUAGCUUAGCUGAAGCAUUUUUACAGUCAACUUUUUGCUGCAUUUAAUGUGUGAACAAAUAUAUGGUUCCGUGUUCAUAUUAAUUAAUGCAAGGAUGCAUGUAGAGUCAUAUCAACUUGAAGCAUAGUUUGUUGGGAAGCAAAAUUGGAUUAAAAAGAUACUGCUUGUGAAAUAUGGAAUCAAAAGCAUACAAUGGAAUGCACCUUGUGAGAAAAAUUGAGUGCAAAAUUUGCAUAACACUUCAGUGCAUUAUACAUAUUCAUAUGUAUAUGUAUAUUUUUGUUUAAUUCAACAAACAUGUCUCAGACAUCCCACAUGUCAGAAAGAUAUCAACACAGUGGUAUUAAAGCAUGUGUAGAAGUUUUAAUAGGGCAGCUACAUAAGUUUUUGCAUUGUUAUCCACCAGUUGACAAAACCAGUUUAAUAUCAACUAAUUGUGGUUGUGUUCCAUUCGCUUAUUUUCUGGCUUAUAUGCCCAAAAUGUAGUAGUACUGUAGUAGUUUAGAAGACUUUAUUCUAUUUGGAAAUUGAAGAGCUUCUUUUGCAGGAUUCCAAAGACAAUUGGUGUCUCCAUACCUAUGAAAGCUACCUUCUUCAUAACGUACAUAAUGGUGGAUGGAUGGGCUGGAGUUGCAGGCGAGAUUCUUAGAUUGAGACCUUUAAUUAUCUAUCACCUCAAAAAUUUCUUCAUGGUAAAGACUGAAACUGAUAGGGAGGAGGCAAUGAAUCCUGGGAGCCUGGGUUUCAACACAGGCGAACCUCAGAUACAGCUGUAUUUCUUGCUGGGGCUGGUUUAUGCUGUUGUUUCUCCAAUUUUGCUUCCUUUUAUCGUCAUAUUCUUUGGACUAGCAUAUAUCGUAUACCGUCAUCAGGUAAAUUUGAAUAUUUGGUAAAAUAAAUUCUUCCUAUGUAGAAUGUUCUGUUGUAAACAAAAACAAUCGAUGCUUGGACCCUCUGGUUGUGAAGCAAUGCUCUUAAAACUGUUUAUUGUUUUUAUGAGUGUGGAGACCAUGUGCAACUUAUAGUUUUGGGGUUCAUAAAUCACUUUGAUUGUACAAAUUUUACCUCAACAAGAAAAAGAAUUUGAUGCACUCAAAGUACCAAACUUUCCUUUCUUCCUCCUGAGAGACAAUUUUUCCAAGCAUUUUAUCGUAUUUGGGAAGUAUAAAACAUAUUUUACAUAUAAAGAUCAGAGUGAAAAGAUUUUUCUUAUUGUUUUUCUGUUGCUGGUGAUUAAAAUUUAUUACUCUGUAUUCUUCCUAUGCCCUUCUCUCUUGUAGGGGUGUGAGUCACUUGUAUUGUUAUAAGCUGGCACUUUUAUAUAAUGUGUAUGUCAGGAACUUCACCCGUAGUCAAUUUAGAGGAAAUAUUGCAAAAGUAUAAGCCAAAAGGCUUACUAUUCUUUUGAGUCUACACUAUGAAGGUCUGCUGCAGUGUUUUUAAAAUAGAAGGAGUCUCUCAAUUUCUGAGCUGAAGGGAUCAGAAUCUGAUCUAGUUUCAGCUGUGACUAAUCUCAAUUUAUAUUUGCAUAUCUUGGUGGCAAAUUCAAAAUGGAAAUUAUUGUAGUAGCUUUUCUUUGCUUUCUCUAGGCUCUAUUAAGUUGGAUUAUUUUACAUAAAAGCUUGGAUUAUACCUGAAAAUUGUGGUGACAAGCCAAAACAGAUUUUUUUGGAUAUUUGGUUUGUAAUUUUGGCUCCUCAACUGCAACAAGCCAGUGGAAAUAGAAGAUUCAUACUAUAAUACAUUAUAAAGUUUUCAUAUCUGAAUAUACUGUAAAUGGAAUUCCUAGUUGAACAUUUUCCAUGUUAUACCUUUCGUGGGGCUUCAUUAGACAUUUUUGUGUAGAUUAUGAAUGUCUACAAUCAAGAGUAUGAGAGCGCUGCAGCAUUCUGGCCUGAUGUUCAUGGGCGCAUCAUAAUAGCAUUGAUAGUCUCCCAACUGCUUUUACUGGGGCUGUUGAGUACAAAAGAUGCUUCUCAGUCAACUCCAUUUCUCAUUACACUCCCUGUAUUGACCAUAUGCUUCGACAGAUACUGCAAAGGUCGUUAUGAACCUGCCUUUGUUAGAUAUCCAUUGCAGGUAUUUAUAGCUGUAUUAAGUAUUAACCUUAAUGUUACUUGAUCAGUUAUCCCCAUUUUGAUGAAAAACUUUCAUGUAAACAAGUCUUUCAGCUGUGCAUCAUUCCACAGAUAUGUUCAUGCUAUCUAGCAUAGAAUAGUCCCAGCCAAUUCCCUCCAUAAUGGAAAUGAGAACUCUCAGAUAAUUGUCAUCAUCAACUAGCUAAGUCCCAGGUCCCAGUCACAUCUUAACAACAUUCAGCUGUUCCUUGUAUUUUCUACCUAAGUAUCCAAAUGGAGGAAAAGUCAAAUCUUUCAUUCAGCCACAUGCUAUUAGAUGAUGAGAUGGGUUUGGCAGUCUUAUCUAUUUAACAAUCUUUCAACCUGUGCAGUCAUUUUCUAAUGUGCACCUUGUGUCCAUGCCUCUGUGCUUUGCUGGAUUUUGCAGCAAGCUAUGAUGAAAGAUAUACUGAAUCGUACAAGGGAGCCAAAUGUUAAUCUAAAGGAUUACCUUCGAAGUGCUUACAUCCACCCAGUCUUCAAGGCCGGAGAUGAUUAUGAGAACAAUUUGGUUAGUGAAGAUGAGGAGCAAGAACCUACUCUUGUCCCCACAAAACGCCAGUCUCGAAGGAGCACCCCGUUUUCCAGCAAAUACAGCGGUUCAUCUCAGUCUUUACCAUAUGAAGUUGAUCAGAACUUGCAGCCCUGAGAAGCUUUGACAUGAACCUUUGUUAGAAAUUGAGCCUACUACGAGUUUUAGAUAUUCAGCUUGAUAUUUGAAAUCAAGUUGGCAAGAAGUAUGUCCUCUGACCAAACUGUCUCAUGCAAUGUUCUUUCGCGGGAAUACAGGUCUUUAGGAGUUGUAAUUGAGCAUUUGGCAUGAUCAAUUUUGGCUGAAUAUCACCAGCCUGAGUUUGUAUGGUAUUUGGAAUGACGAAAUUUCUCUGUACAUAGACCAUUCUUUUACCAAGUGUAGCAGCUAGGUUCCAGAUUCUCUACUUACCAUAAUCUUUGCCAUACAAUCCCAUGUGCUGCGAAGUCCUUGUUAUAUUAUUUCAAACCAAAUAGACCAAGUUAUGUGAUGUUUGUGCUUACUUUUGCAACAACACUUACUUUUGAUAGAACGCUUGUUAACAAAGGGUAGUUGAAAUACCACAUGUGCCUAACAAGGAGAGCACAAAUAGAUAACAAAUGAUCCAACGAUUAAUGCUGAACACAAAAUCAUAUACUUUUGAAAAUGAAUUAGCUGCUUUAUUUCCACCAUAUUUUGAUGGCAUGUCGUUUUUGAAAAACUUUUUAUUUUCGGUCAAUUUUCAUGGGCGCUUUUAAUAGGGAAAAAAUAAAAAAGAAUGGAAUCACUACCUAGUAGUUUUUUUUUUUUUUGGUCUAAUUUUAUAGGAUUGAUGUUUAGGGCUAAGGGACCUAUACCUCUUGGAAAUUUCCUAUUAAAUAAAAUAUAAAAUGUGGGGGGGGGGGGGGUUCUAUAACUCUUUUGGAUACAAUAUCAAUAAGAUAAAAUUCAUUGUUCAAUGUAGAAUAAGAGUUAUCAAUCGUUAAAUGAUUUUAAGAGUUCAAAUUAUUAGAUAAUAUGGGAAGAUAUAAAUAGACUAGCAUUAUGGGUACAGUAUCCAAAAUAGGGAUUGCAGUAUUUUCCAUAAAAUGGCCCUUUUUUUUAUAACUUCUUGGUCAUGGUGUUUACUAUAACCACAAAUUUGUCCCCUUAACUUUUUUUCACUUGUCCAUUAUAGAUAAAAGUAAAGUAAUUUUUUUUAAGAAGCAAACCCAAUCCCAAUGAAAUAAACAAACUCAAUCCCACAGCUAAACUUGUAAUCAAAUAAUAAAAACACAUUUUUUAAUACCUAAUAUGUUAGAAAAUAGAUUUUAUUUGUCUUACUUCCAUUGAAAUAAAAAAAAAAAUUCAAUUCUCAUCACAUAAGAAUUGUACAACAACUCUAGACUCAUGCAAAAACAAUGACUUGUAGGUGAGUGUGAGUGGUCUUCUUUUACUGCCAUUGCUCCUACUCUUCCUCCUCCUUCUUCAUCAUCGUCGUCAUCAUCAUCAUCAUCAAAGAUAAAAAUUUUAAUGAUUAAUCUUGUGUAUUUUUUACUUUUAGUUUUGGUGUAUUUGGACCAUAUUGAAUAUCUUGAGAUCACAAUACCAAGACUAAAUCACUUAACUCCAUCGGACCAAAAGUAUGUAGUGUUUUAAUAAAGAAUUACUUUUAUGAUAAUUUGGCAAUUAUCUAUUUUAUUUCCCUGCAAUAAAAUUCAUUUUUUUUUGUGUCAUUGAAUAUAGUAAACACGUUUUCUUCUAAUACAAUGAUAGGAAAAAUAUAAAGUAUGAGGCUAGACUACAAAAUCAAUGUUUCUGAUAUAAUUUUCUAAAAAUUUUAAAAACAAAUUUAUACUUCAUUAAAAUGAAAAAAAACUUAAAACUUUUAAAACUCAAGACAUGCAAUUAAUCAUGUUAGUGAUUUUUCAGGUUAUUCAAACUCAAAUAAACAUUCUACCACCAAUCUAUUCUCAGUUGGAUGCCCCCUAGGAUUAAAGGACAAAAUUUUUUUUUUAUUUUAUUGAAGUGGGACAAAUUUCAUUCUUUAGGUACUAAAGUGUUCCACUUUAAAGUUUAGUGACCAGAAAAAAUAUUCGGGUAUGGUUAAAGAGUAAAAAGAGGAAUAACCAUUUAAUCUUGAGAUAUCUAACUACUUAAAAGGGGAAGUAUAGUAAGUAAAUAAUGUUGUCCAAUUGGUUAGUUAUUCCAUCCUUUUUCAAUUUGUGAUGCCUAAUUCUAUCUUUUUGAUAGUGUGCCACUAGAUUUCUUUCUAUUUUUUUUUUAUAGAUAAAAGAGUCAAGAACUAGUAGUCUAUUAUCAGGGGUUGGAAGUCUUUAUUUCUAAUACUUAAAAAAAAAAAUUUUUUUACAGUAGAUUGGAUUGGAUUUGGAAAUUGAUAUGCCAAUUUCUUGAUAAAGUGUCAAGUCUACAGUAACUGUUGUAGGAACGGAAGUAUCAUGGUCAAGAAUUUGAGACACAAGUACCUAUAAGCUCAUUCGUUCCUACAAUAUUUGUAUUUCUUGGUGAUGAUUUUCUCUUGGCUGCCUCUAUCUCGAGAAAUGCAUGAAGAAAAAAUCAUAUAAUGGCUGCCUCAAUAUUUGUUGUGCAAUUUUCACUAUCUUUUGUGCCUGAUUCUAUCCUGUCUGCUUAUUAGUUCUUUGAUCCUCUUUACUUGGUGGAUGUAUUGGUACAUGUGUGUAUGUAGGAUGGAAGGUUUGUUGAAUUAAUGAUGCCUCCAAUAUGCAGUCAAAGCUUUGUGUUGGAAGGUAUAAUUUAUGUAACUGGAAGUGUGUAUAAACGUGAAAGCGAGAUGUUUUUAUAGUCAUUGGUGAGGUGGCAUGGGUGUAGUUACAUCUUUAUCUAUUUAUGCUUUGUUUAUGUGGCUAAUGUAUUUGAUCUUUUGGGGAUUUUGCGUGUGCAUUUGUUGGACGAGAUUUAUUAUGCACCUAUUGUGCCAAUUAUGUUGGUCAUUUACAUUGAAAACUGAUAUGAAUUUCAUUUUGUAAUUACGUAGUUACACAUCGGACUAGUCUAUUGGCUUGUUUGCUAUAAUAAUCUCUAGCCAUUAUUUCAUGUUGCAUGAAACUGGUUAUUGGUGGAAUUUUUUCCCCAUUCGCCAUCAUUAUGUUUGUUAAUUAUUUUUUUAAAUCAUUUUAUUUUAACUUUUUUUUAUUUAGAAGUUCUUAGGAGUUCUUUUUUUCCCAUUUUUAAAGUUCUUAGGAGUUCUUAUUGUUUCUUUUAUUUGGUCAUUUUUACUACUUUGUUCAAGAUAGUGUGGUUUUGAUGCACUCUUAACUUUUGUUGGUUCUAAAAUCCUUUUGAAUAGGUAAAAUAUUCUUCUCUUUUAUUUAUUUUGUACCUUGAUGUAACUAUAGAUGAGGAAGAAAUAUAAAUAUAUAUAUUUGUUGUUAAUUUUGUUUUAAUGUUAUGUUUUGAUUUAUAUCAUUUAUGGUUGUAGUAAAUGUCUGAGUUGUUAUUGCACUUUUUAUUGGUAUAGUUGGUUCUUUUUUUGCUGUAUUUAUAGUUGGUUUCCCUUCAGUUUAUAUAAGAGGAUUAUGGUACUUAUUUAGUGUAACUGUUUUUCUCCUCUUUUUGUUGUCUCUUUGCCACAAGCUUCAGUGAAUUUUACUGUGCUAUUAUCUGUUAUAUUCUUCAUGUUUUUUUGUUAUGUUUUUCCUCUUUUAUGUAUUAGUUUUUUUUCCCUUUGUUUUAUAUGCCUUGGUUGUUUAAAUUUUUUGUUAUUUUUGUGCUCCUAUUUGGUGUUUGUUUGUUGAUUUUGUAUAAUAUUUUUUUUGUUUACAUAAUUUUCAUUUGUUCCAUGCCUUUUGAAUUAUACUUUUUAAGAUUCAGGUUUACUAAUGUGGUUGAUAUCGUGUUUUUCCUUUUGUUUGAAAUUUUUUCUGUAUUUUUAUUGUUCAAGGUAAGUACUGGUUCACCUAUUGUUCUGUAUUGAUUGCUUUUUAACUUCGGAAAAGACAUAUUCUUCAUUUUUUUUGAUAUAAAUGUUUUUUUUAUAUUUUUGUUUGUAUUUCAAUUAUGAUUUCUUUUAAAAGAAUGAAUAGUUUUUUUUUAAAGAUAUUAGUGCUUUUUUGUUUAAUUAUCUGUGAAGUCCUUUUGCAUUCAUUUUAUGCUCUUAACAGGUAUAUUUGUUUUGUGAUGUAAUCAUUAUAUCUUACGUCUUUAAGUGCUUGUGAUUGUUUUUUGAUGUUUAUCUUUUGAUGUUUUUAUUUGUGAUAAAUUAUCAAUAAUUAUAAUAGGUCAAAAGAGGAAAUUUGUGUGAUAAGGAACAAUGGUUGGAAAAAAACCGUCAUAAUCGAGAAAGAUAAGCAACUCUUCCAAAUAAAAAGGGGUAGAAUUAUUAAUAAAGAAUCAUCUCUCGCGUUUAAGGACUAAACUGAUGAAAGAAUUCAGAUCAACCUUGCAGUGUUAUUAAUACUAUUGAAUUAGGUACUGUUAUUAAUGUUAUCGAAUUAGACAGAAUUAUUAGAGAAUCCAUUUCUCAUUGUGACAUACUUAUUAAGCAGAUUGCUAUAACUGUUGUAACUGAAUAGACAAUGAUGUCAGAGGUGAGAUUUUUCUCUUAAUUCUAUUUACUUAUUUAUUAUUGUGUUUAAUUGUGUUGAUAUACAUAUUUAUUUAUGUGAUUAUAUGUGAAAAAUAUGUGUGUAUAUAUUUAUGUAUAAUAUAGAUGAAUAUUGAUUCCUAUAUAAUUUAAUUUUUCUGGUUAUCUUGGUCUUAUUAAAUGCCAUAAAAACUGUCUUUAGCAAAUUUUGAUGUUGUUAGAAAUAUAGCAAUGACUAUGUAUACUAUGCAUAAUGAUUAUAUAGAUUGACAUAUCUAUAUAAUUUGCCAGAUUACUUAGACAAUGAUUAACUUUUUAAAUUUGAUUAUUAGUUAUUUGAUUGUUUCAGAUGUCCAAAUGCAUGCUUGGUUGAUCCCGAAUACAUUAUUAUAUGAUAUUAUUCAGAAUAUAGAGAUGCUGAUAGAUCUAUGAUAAAAUAAUUAGCAGUUUUGAUGUCAUUCUUGAUUAUUUAAAAGACAAAACAAUGAGUGUUUUUUUAUGUUAUUGUUAAUUACACAGUAUUUUCAGAUAUGCAAAAUGUGUUUCAAUUGAGUACAAAUACACCAAUGUCUGAGAUGAGAUUGAUUUUUGGUAUUCAUCUAAUAGAACAAUAUAUGCUAUUAUUGUGUUUUCUAUUAUGUUUUAUAUAAUUUACAAAGAUUGUGUUAAUUAAAAUCCUUAGGUCUGGUAUUUUAUGUAUUUUAUUUUAAUAUAUUUAAGAAAGAAGUUUAAGAAAUAAAAAAAAGUUAAAAAACACACCAGUAUAAUAGAAUACAUAGAUACAUUUAUUACAAAUAAUCCUUAGGUAACCAAACUUUAUCACAUACGCAUACACACACACACACACACAUAAACAUACACACAAUGAAACAUAUCUAUAUGUGCACAAAUACACACUUAUACACACACAUAUAUAAAACUCCUGUGCACUAAUAAAACCUCCUAUAAAUAUCAUCUAAUGCAAUCUUUCAUAACAUAACAAUUACUCUUUCUUAUAUGCUUAUCUACUAAAUCUUUACUUCCCUUUAUACAACAUGAAUAACUAUAUAUUCCAACCUCUUCAACUACAACGAACUCCAACACACUAGUUAGGUGUCCAACAUUGCACACCGCACAGUGGUAAUAUUGCCCAACAUUGUUAGUUAGGUGUCCGUAAAGAUCGAAUUAUGAAGAGGAUAUGCUAAUUGCAAAAGACUAAAAAACAUAAUUUUAAAAAAAUGCCUAGGAAAUAUCAAAACCAAAGGCUUUUUGGACAAUUAUGAAGCGAACGACUUUUUUUUUUUUUAUGCAAUAGCUUGAUCAAAUGUAAUUCCAGCACAUUAUAAAGCCAAUUCAACACAUUAAGGCAAAGGCUUAACAUAUUUGCAUGCCUUUUCGAACUAUUUCUAAAUAAACGUUUUUCUUUUUGUUCAUCAUAUUCAACAAAAAUACUCUCAAAACUAAAAAAAACUCUCAAAAAAAUUGCUCCUUUACCUGUCAUAGAAAAUAAAAAUUGCCAAAUAAAAUAAGUAAUCUUCUAGUAAUGUCUAGCAGAAAAAUGUGUGGGAUUACAGUUAACAAAAGUCCAACCUUAAGUUUUCAUGACUAUUUACAACUUGAAAGGAAUUUUGGAUCCCUUUCUUAAUUUGAUUUUCCUUUUUGCCCCAACUUAUUAAAAUAUUCUAUCAUUGAUGAAAAGUUUUUCGAAAUAUUCUCAAAGUUUGCAGUAAAAACUUGAGUAUGGCCUGUUAAACAUGUUAUUCAGUUUUAUUAGUCUUAUCUUUGCCUCCUCUAACCUCCACGUAGGUCACAGCUCAGGAAAUCGUGCAAUGAAGGUUUGAUUUUCUUUACCUCAUUAAUUAAAAAGCAUAAUCCACUGGGCCUGGUAGUUCUAAAUCAAUUAGUAUCCACGUAAUAUACAUGUAAUGGAAGUGCGAAGACCCCCAAUGUCACUAGCAUGCAUAGCCUAAUAGCCACCUGAUCAAGCUGCGCACGGAGAUGCCUAGCAUCACAAAUGUAUACAAGAACAAUGAAGAAAAUUUUAGUGAAAGCAGAAACACAUUUCCCGAUUGCCUUUGCAUAAAAAUCCGCUUACAUAGUCUCAACUAAAAGUGUUUGUAAUACAAUGAAUAAAAAUAGGCAGCAACUGGUAAUAGCUUAACUGCCAUGACCUAAAAUAACAUCAGAAGAGAAAAUAACAGCAAGCAAAUGACAAGAUAUUGCAAGCAAUUACACAAACGCUCACACAGAAGCAGAGAAUAUUGGAUUCUUUUAAUCAAGAUGACAACAAAAGAGUCCAUAUGCAAAACAACUAGGGCUGCAAACGAACCGAGUCGAGUCGAGUUUUGGGCCAAUCGAGCCGAGUCUCGACUAAAUUUUACCAAGCUUGAGCUCGAACUCAAGCCGGCAAUUUUCGAGCUCGAGCUCGACUCGAAUCAAUUCAAGCCGAGCUCGAGCUCAAAAAAAAUUAAAAAAAAUUAUUUUAUUUUUUAAAAAAUAAAUAAAAUAAUAUAUUUUUUAAUAAAUAAUAAAAAUAUUAAGGAUAUAUAUGUAAUUUUACUAUUAAAAUAAAAAAAAUAUAUACUUAAAAAUAAAAAAUAUAUAUAAAUAUACUUAAAAUAAAAAAAAUAAAAAAUAUUAUAUAUAUACUCGAGCUCGCGAGCUAACAAGCUUAAUAUUUUGAGUUCGAUUUUGAUCGAGCUCGACUCGAGCUUGACUCAAGCCGCUCGCGAGCGGCUCGAUUCGUUUGCAACCCUAAAAACAACAAACAAGAGCAUAAAGUGCUCCAAACACAUAUUGAAAGCAUCCUUACACCAAAAAAAUAGCAAGCUACAUCACGAAAGAGGCUAGGCAACAUAAAAAGUAACAACAGUAAACUUGACAGAAGUGGUUUUCCUAAUAUGAUCAGAUGAAUGCUUAAUAUAGCACAAAAGCCUUUUUCCUUUGGCCUCAUUAGCAACGUAAUAGCUCAAUCUAGCAUGUUGCAGAAAGAGAAGAAUCAAACAACACCAUUAGCAUAAACGGAAUCAUAGAUGCAAACAUCGUAGAGGUAUAAAAAAAACCAAGCUACACUACAUCUUGUUCAUCGAGCGCAUAAAGAUGAAAAGUAGCAAGACCAAUAAGGCGCACAACUUCAUCGCCAAUAACCAGAAUAUUCAUAGAGCCAGAGUCAUCUUUAAUUGAUAGAGCAAUAUAGACCCUGCAAUCAACAGCAAUCAUGCAUAAAGCUAGACCAACAUCAUGGACAAAUAGUAGCAGGAGAACAAUAGAACAAGAAUACCUAGGGAAAAUAUACAUUUGUCGACCACAACACUUGCACACAAUUCCCAAAG